rnacentral:rRNA from 1 species
UGGCAAGCAGGUUAAUAUUCCUGCACCGGCACGGAUGGUUUCCACAGGAGGGACGGAGAAGGGUAGGUCAGCCCCAGAUUGGAUUGUGGGGUUCAAACCUGUAGGAGGCUCUGCUAGGACCCAAUAGGGACAAACGGCAGGGCAUUAACUCCGAGAGGCAACGAGGAGAGCGCUUUGCGCUCACGAACUGACUAAUCCCACGCUUCCAAGAAAAUCUCCGGUGGAGUUAACCGCUGUGCUGUCCGUACCGUAAACCAACUCAGGUGGGCGGGAAGAAUAUUCCAAGGCGCUUGAGAGAACCCAUCCUAAGGAACUCGGCAAAAUUCUACCGUAACUUCGGGAGAAGGUAGGCCGGCGACCGUCAGAAGCUUCGCGCUUCGAAGCGGUUGUUGGUUGCAGAGAAUCGGGGGUAGCGACUGUUUACCAAAAACACAGGACUCUGCGAACGCGGAAGCGGACGUAUAGGGUCUGAUGCCUGCCCGGUGCUGGAAGGUUAAGGGGAGAUGUCAGUCGCAAGACGAAGCAUCGAACCGAAGCCCCAGUAAACGGCGGCCGUAACAAUAACGGUCCUAAGGUAGCGAAAUUCCUUGUCGGGUAAGUUCCGACCUGCACGAAUGGCAUAACGACUUCCCCACUGUCUCGGGAUGGGACUCAGUGAAGUAGCACUAGGGGUGAAGAUACCCUUUACCUGCGGCAAGACGGAAAGACCCCAUGAACCUUCACUGUAACUUGGCACUGAACUUCGGGCUUAAUUGCGUAGGAUAGGUGGGAGGCUUUGAACCGGGGAUUUUGGUUUCCGGGGAGCCACCGUUGAAAUACCACCCUGUUCAGUCUGGAGUUCUAACCUACGCCCGUUAACCGGGCGGGGAACAAUGCCUGGUGGGCAGUUUGACUGGGGCGGUCGCCUCCAAAAAAGUAACGGAGGCGCGCGAAGGUUCCCUCAGGCUGAUUGGAAACCAGCUGUUGAGUGUAAUGGCACAAGGGAGCUUAACUGCGAGACAAACAAGUCGAGCAGGUACGAAAGUAGGUCAUAGUGAUCCGGUGGUACCUCAUGGAAGGGCCAUCGCUCAUCGGAUAAAAGGUACUCUGGGGAUAACAGGCUGAUCACGCCCAAGAGUUCACAUCGACGGCGUGGUUUGGCACCUCGAUGUCGGCUCAUCGCAUCCUGGGGCUGAAGUAGGUCCCAAGGGUUUGGCUGUUCGCCAAUUAAAGCGGUACGCGAGCUGGGUUCAGAACGUCGUGAGACAGUUCGGUCCCUAUCUGCCGUGGGCGCAGGAGUUUUGCGAGGACCUGCCCGUAGUACGAGAGGACCCGGGUGGACGGACCGCUGGUGUUCCGGUUGUCAUGCCAAUGGCAUCGCCGGGUAGCUAUGUCCGGAACAGAUAACCGCUGAAAGCAUCUAAGCGGGAAGCUGACCUCCAGAUUAGAACUCCCAGAGCGCAAGCUCUCUGAAGGACCCUUGUAGACUACGAGGUUGAUAGGCCGGGUGUGGAAGCGCUGUGAGGCGCGCAGCUAACCGGUACUAAUCGUCCGUGGGGCUUGACCGC